rnacentral:SRP_RNA from 1 species
GCCAGGCAUGGUGGCUCAUGCCUGUAAUCCCAGCACUUUGGGAGGCUGAGACAGGUGGAUCACUUGAGGUCAGGAGUUCAAGACUAGCCUGGCCAAUAUGGUGAAAUCCCGUCUCUA